UGAUGGCAGACACCACUGUUCUUACAGUAGGACAGUUGAUUAACAAAUUAUUGCCCUCUUAAAUGUUUUGUAUGAUUUGAAUGGUGAACUAUCUGUGGCUGGAUCAUUUACAUUCAAGUUAACCCUGAGGCGAGAUGGUCCUUUGCACAUGUUUUCUUCCCAUUGGUCCGGGGUCGCAGGCUGACAGCGCUGCAGGUACUACUUAUAAGGGUGCUCUCUGCCUGCACUGGGUUUCACCUCAGGCCUUACACACUGAGGAGAGGAAACUGGAGAGGUGAGACUGCAGGGGAUAAACAAUACCAGAAGAGGGCUGCAUGAAUGCUUUAGUCACUGCAGGGUGGACAGCUUCUGACAGAAAACAG